AUUGAACGCUGGCGGCAUGCCUUACACAUGCAAGUCGAACGGUAACAGGUUAAGCUGACGAGUGGCGAACGGGUGAGUAAUGUAUCGGAACGUGCCCAGUCGUGGGGGAUAACUGCUCGAAAGAGCAGCUAAUACCGCAUACGACCUGAGGGGGAAAGCGGCGGAUCGCAAGACCUCGCGCGAUUGGAGCGGCCGAUAUCAGAUUAGGUAGUUGGUGAGGUAAAGGCUCACCAAGACGAAGAUCUGUAGCUGGUCUGAGAGGACGACCAGCCACACUGGGACUGAGACACGGCCCAGACUCCUACGGGAGGCAGCAGUGGGGAAUUUUGGACAAUGGGCGGAAGCCUGAUCCAGCCAUGCCGCGUGCGGGAAGAAGGCCUUCGGGUUGUAAACCGCUUUUGUCAGGGAAGAAAAGGUUCUGGCUAAUACCUGGGACUCAUGACGGUACCUGAAGAAUAAGCACCGGCUAACUACGUG
rnacentral:rRNA from 1 species